rnacentral:rRNA from 1 species
GGCAAGCGUUGUCCGGAUUUACUGGGCGUAAAGAGCGCGCAGGCGGUCGUCCAAGUCGCGUGUGAAAGCCCCCGGCUCAACUGGGGAGGGUCAUUCGAUACCGAUCGACUCGAAGGCAGGAGAGGGAAGUGGAAUUCCCGGUGUAGUGGUGAAAUGCGUAGAUAUCGGGAGGAACACCAGUGGCGAAGGCGGCACUCUGGGCCGGAACUGACGCUGAGGAGCGAAAGCGUGGGGAGCAAACCGG